GACUCUUAGCGGUGGAUCACUCGGCUCGUGCGUCGAUGAAGAACGCAACUAACUGCGAGAAUUAAUGUGAAUUGCAGGACACAUUGAUCAUCGACACUUCGAACGCACUUGCGGCCCGGGUUCCUCCAGGGCUACGCCUAUCUGAGCGUCG
rnacentral:rRNA from 1 species